UUCGACGUGUCGAUCCUCGAGAUCGGCGACGGCGUGUUCGAGGUGAAGUCCACCAACGGCGACACGUUCCUUGGCGGCGAAGAUUUCGACAUGCGUCUCGUUGGCUAUCUGGCUGACGAAUUCCAGAAGGAGCAGGGCAUCAACCUGCGCAACGACAAGCUCGCCUUGCAGCGCCUGAAAGAGGCCGCUGAAAAAGCCAAGAUCGAACUGUCGUCGACGACCCAGACCGAAAUCAAUCUGCCGUUCAUCACGGCGGAUGCAUCCGGUCCG
rnacentral:misc_RNA from 1 species